AAGAAACUAACAAGGAUUCCCCUAGUAACGGCGAGUGAACGGGGAGAAGCCCAGCGCUGAAUCUUUCGGUGUUACACCGCUAAGAAAUGUAGCGUAUAGGUGUGAUUUUCAGUUUGUGCUGCAUGUCCAAAGUCCCUUUGAUAGGGGCCACAUUCCCGAGAGGGUGCGAGACCUGUGCGGACGGUGGAGCAAGCUGUAUGAUCAUACCUUGGAGUCGGGUUGCUUGAAAGUGCAGCCUAAAGUGGGUGAUAAACUUCAUCUAAGGCUAAAUAUAGACGCGAAUUCGAUAGCAAACAAGUACUGUGAAGGAAAGUUGCAAAGAACUUUGAAGAGAGAGUUCAAGAGAACGUGAAAUCGCUGGAGUGGAACCGGAGAGAGUUGACGUAGUCCGGUAACUAAGUUUGCCAAUAUCGCUUAAUUGUGAUUGCGGCAGAUGUACGUUGCCUAUGGCUGCGCUGACAGCACUGAUUGUGCGUUCCGAACCGUUUACGUUGCCCAUCUUUCGGGAUGGUGUCUUGUUCACGGAUAGGUUUGUCAUGAUUAGUGUAUUAUCCUGCGUGCAGGGUGUCAGUGUGAAAGUCGACCACCUCUCCGACCCGUCUUGAAACACGGACCGAGGAGUGUAACUUGUACGCGAGUCAAAGGGUGGAAAACCCCAAGGCGCAACGAAAGUAAAGGUCGGUUAACCGGCUGACAUGGGAUCCGUUUCGUUCGAAGCGGCGCACCAUGGCCCUGUCUUGUCUGCUUGCAGAUGGGCAGCGGUAGAGCGUACAGGUUGCGACCCGAAAGAUGGUGAACUAUGCCUGAGCAGGACGAAGUCAGAGGAAACUCUGAUGGAAGUCCGUAUCGGUUCUGACGUGCAAAUCGAUCGAUAGACUUGGGUAUAGGGGCGAAAGACUAAUCGAACCAUCUAGUAGCUGGUUCCCUCCGAAGUUUCCCUCAGGAUAGCUGA
rnacentral:rRNA from 1 species